GAGGCCCUACGGGAGGCAGCAGUGAGGAAUAUUGGUCAAUGGGCGGGAGCCUGAACCAGCCAAGUCGCGUGAGGGAAGACGGUCCUAUGGAUUGUAAACCUCUUUAGGCGGGGAGCAAUGCCGGGCACGCGUGUCCGGAGGGAGAGUACCCGCAGAAUAAGCAUCGGCUAACUCCGUGCCAGCAGCCGCGGUAAUACGUAGGUGGCAAGCGUUAUCCGGAUUUAUUGGGCGUAAAGGGAACGCAGGCGGCCUUUUAAGUCUGAUGUGAAAGCCUUCGGCUUAACCGGAG
rnacentral:rRNA from 1 species